CCGCCGGCCUUCCGGGUCGCCGAGCUCUGGGUCCCCAUGAGUCUGGGUCCUCAAGAUGGGACAGGCCUGGGGAAAGAUCUUGAUGGCGGGGCGAGGCGUCCCUUCCGCGCCCCAGCGUCUGAUUGACUGACACCAAGACCCAGGCUAGGAAGCUCUGUGCCUGCGGAAAUGGGGAGCAUCUGGGAGGGGACUCUGUGUCGCGAGGACCCGCUGCCCCCACUUCCUCUCCGCCUGGCCACCCCACUCAGUGCCCAACCUCACGUUUAGGAUCUGGGACGGUUCCUGGAAGGUUCUCCUCGAUCGCCCUUUGCGCUGGCUGGGUCUGUGACUUGCCGGACCCUUUCUCCCACAGGGUCCUGGACCUGGGAGAUGAUAGAGGGGCUUGGCUGUCAGGAGCGACUGCUGGUUAAUUAACGCUGGGGCCUGCGUGGGACGCGCAGGGGCUGGUAUAGCUUUCAGACCUCCUAAGACCAGAACAGAGCCCACUCCACUUGCAGGGCAAAGGGAGCCACUCAGAAAGAGAGCAGAGUAACAGAAAAAUCCAGAGAGGCCUAGGGAGCAGUCCCCGCCCCCUGGUCCCAAGGACUCUAGGGCUGGCCUGAAAAUAUGCCAAAUCUGGUAUCUCUCCCAAUACUGAACUUUAACCCUGAGCAAAGUCUUGAGUACGCACGGUUGUCAGUGACAAACUAGAUACAGAGGGACUGGGCUAGCCAAUGCCACCCAAAUAGAGAGUGUGGCGAGCGAACUCCAGUCUAGGUCCAAGUGGCCCCUAGCGCGAUCUGCCAGGUGGGGGUGGAGAGCUGCUGCGGGCAUACAGAUGAUCUGUGCAGGGCCAUAUUAUUUCUUCUUUUCUGUCUUCUUAGAAGGCCUCGAACCCCUUUUAACAUCAAGAUUCUCCUGGCUGGAGUGGAAAAGUCUGUGCGUUUUCGAGUAGGAGCUUUUGCCCGAGUUUGGGUGACUUUCAAGAGCCAAAGUUAACUGAGGCUAAGAAUAGAUUAGCUCCUUGCUCUCUGUGGAGCUAUGAGGUGAGGCGCUUCAAUGUCCCCCGCGGGCAGCGCCCUCUGGUGGCAAGGUCGAGAACCGGACUCGCUUGUUUUCUCCUUUGCCUAAAUAUCAGAAGUAUGUAGCAAUGAUGGGAACAGGAAAGUUCAGUGGAGAAUAGAGACUAGGCUAUAAGACAUCCACACCGACGAUGAAUAAAGCCCUAAAAU